AUGGCGCCCUCCUCAGCCUCCACCGUCGAGAUCACCAGUGAGUCAGUCUUCGAUAGUGAGGUCGUCCCCUCCUCAAUCGUCGAGAUCGCACCCUACCUCCGCGUCGCCAACGAGGUCGAGGCAAGCAACCCACGCGUCGCCUACCUAUGUCGAUUCUUCGCCUUCAGGAUGGCCAACAACCUCGACCCCACCGCCAGCGGCCGUGAUGUCCAUGAGUUCAAGACCGCGCUCCUGCAGAAGCUUGAAAUGGAGACCUUGAAGCAGAGUGAUACACGCGAAAUGUGGAGUUUCUACCAGCACUACUACAAGACGUACAUCAUGGCACUAGUAAACGCCGGCGAUACAGGUGACCGUGCUCAGCUCACAAAGGCGUAUCAGACUUCAGCUGUGUUGUUUGGGGUCCUAAAGGACGCCGAUAAUGUUUCACAGAAGAUCCAAGUUGAUCACGCGAUUCUGGAAACAAGCAACCAAGUCGAGGAAAAGAAAAAGGUGUAUCUUCCUGACAGUGCUAAUCAGACUAUUAUGAGAUAUCCCAAGAUCCAAGCAGCUUUGCAUGCCCUUAGUGACACUAGGGGUCUGCCAUGGCCCAAGGACCAUGAAAAGAAGGCUGAUGCAGAUCUUCUUGAAUGGCUUCAGGCCAUGUUUGGGUUUCAGAAAGAUAAUGUGUCCAAUCAGAGAGAACAUCUCAUACUAUUGCUUGCCAACAUGCAUAUAAGGCAGAUUUCCAAACCUGAACAACAACCAGAGUUAGAUGACCAUGUGUUGGAUACAACAAUGAAGAAGCUAUUCAAGAACUACAAGAGAUGGUGCAAGUACCUUGGCCGCAAAACCAGCUUAUGGCUGCCGACAAUUCCACAAGAAGUACAACAGCGUAAGCUUCUCUAUAUGGGCCUUUAUCUUCUCAUAUGGGGCGAGGCGGCUAACUUGCGGUUUAUGCCAGAGUGUCUUUGCUACCUCUUUCAUCAUAUGGCUUUUGAAUUAUACAGUGUGUUGGCUGCAAACGUGAGCCCAGUAACUGGUGAAAAUGUUAGGCCAUACUAUGGUGGCGAAGAGGAAGCCUUCUUGAAGAAAGUCGUGACCCCAAUUUCCAGAAUCGUAGAAACGGACAAAACUGAAAGGAGCGGGACAAUAAAAUCAAAACACUCACAUCAGAGAAAUUAUGAUGAUCUCAAUGUGUUCUUUUGGUCAAGAGACUGUUUCCAAUUAGGAUGGCCAAUGAGAGCCGAUGCUGAUUUUUUCAAGAAGAGGAGCAACCUGUGUGAGUUGUGCUCUUCUUCCACACCACAAGUGUGUGUCCGUGUGUGCUUCAUCUUGGCCACGGUUAGGUCUUGGGUCCAACGGUCGCGGCGGCGGUGGUGUUGUAGUGGAGUAGGCUUGCCAGAGCUCACGGGUCAUUGA
rnacentral:rRNA from 1 species